GAACGUGUCAGACCCCAGAACGGCCUUCUGGGAACACUGUCUGUGGUGACACAUCUGGCUCCUGGGGACGGACCUGCUUCGCCCCUCAAGCUCAGCGCCGCUGCCACUGCAGUAAAUACGCUUUCUGUUGCUAUGACAACGUUUCUCCUGACUAACCGACGUUCGACGCGUUGCCCUGGAUGGACUGGCGUCCUGUCCGGGCUCUAACCCGCCUCUCGCCCAUAGAUUGAUGGGACAGGCUCCAGUGUCGGCUCCGAGCGGUAGAAAAUGCAUGGAUGGAUGAACGUUGGUCAUGUAAACGCAUCUCACUUGAUGACGUAAUAUCUGCUUGUGUUUAAUCUGUUUUUAUCUGCUGAGAUGUUAUAAAGAGGUAAAUACCUGAACCACAGCGACCUUUCAUCACUUCUUCCUUCAGUAAAGUUGCCUUUCUCCCUCAGUCUUUUCUCGUAGAUUCUCCAGCAGCUUCCAGCACGAACCUGUUGGUUUCCCACCUCUUAUAUCUUCCCCGUCUCCGAGCUGGCCCCGCCCCUCUACGUUGACCCCGCCCCUCUGUGCUUGCCCCGCCUCUAAUCAAGCAGACUUCACAUCACCACGACAGCAGUGAUGUUAAAUAUGGCAUAAAAAGAACCGUGGGUAAAAUAAUCAGGACUGUUAUUUACUGAUCUCAUCAUUACUCUUGACACCUGUAGAAGAAACACAGUUCAGUCAUUGGAGAAAAGUUUAGAAAACUCAACACAGAAUAAAAUAUCAAAAGUAUCACUUAACUACUUAGAAAGAUGAAGGUAAAAAUUAGACUUUUCUCAAUAUUUUGACUAUUUAUUAAAUAAACUAUUGUUGACAUUUACUGUAAAUGAACAUUGCAGACUUUUAAUCUCAAAAUUUAAACUGUAUCAUCUUUUCCUAUUACCAGAAUAAAUAUUAGAUUGCUACCUAUAAACUUAGUAAAAAGUCUGUUCUCACCAAAACUAUGAAUUAUGGGAAUAUUUCUUAGGUGUGUGACACAAACCCUGUGGUAUACAGAAUGUCUUCAAUGCCAUGAUAUUGCAAACUUGAAGACGUGACGUGUUUUAAGUAUUAAUAUUGAGCUAUUCGUGCUUGUAAAGUGGAUGGUGUUAAUGCAGAGCAUCAUCACUGCAGAUUCAAUACAGAAACAAAAUAACCAUG